CCGAGGAAGCACAAUGUUCUGCUUGUAGAACAGUGUAGACAAUAGUCUCUCAACCUGCCAGGCCUGUAAUUAUUACUUUUUUCAGUUGCUGUUUACCUGGUUUCUGAUUAAUCCUGCCGCAGCAGUGGGGAAAUCACCCGGGAGACCGCGUUUGUGUACCUGUGCUAUUGAAUUUCAAGGUGUUCUCGUGAAAGAACUUGCUCUGAGGUUUUUUUGGGGACAGUGGCCAAGGCUUGGAGGAGCCCAAACUAACCGUCCGAGACCGGAAACUUCAGCUGUAGUUUCUGCCUUCGGUAAUGAUGUUCCACUUGUCUCUCGUACUGCGUUGUGAGUAAACGCGAGCAGAAAGGUUUUUGGUUUGUUUACCUGUUCUGGGAGUAGCGUCUGAAAGAAAAUGAGCGAGCAACAAGCUUUCAAGCAGAGUCCCAAUUUAAAACCAGCCUGUCCACCCCUGCCUGUCAGCGGCUGUCCAGCAUCGCUCUUCAAGGCUGAGAAACGCAAAGGGCCUUUUAACAGAAGCAGAGAAGGGAAUGAUUUAGGUCGCGAGCGGAGGGCCUGCGGCGCGAAGAGGACAGCGGGAGGCGUCUCGCGGCCCGGCCUGGCCUCGGGGAGCUGCAGCUGGCGCUCCGCGGAUUCCUGUGCGAAAGGCGAGGGUGGCCAGGCGUCAGUGGAGAGGUGUCAGCCGAAGCCCAGGCAGGCAGCGGGAGUCCCGGUGGUGACCCUGGUGCCCUUCAGCAUGCGUGGCCCCAGGGCCUGGGCUGGGGGCCCCCUCUCCUUGCCGAAUCAGGUCAGCUCCAGGGAGGCGGGGCUCCACACCACAUGGUCCGGCCAGAGACUGCGCCUGCUCCAGAGCCAGGCUGACAUCCGGCUGUGCCACCAGCGCAAGGAGCUGACCAAGGUCUGUCCUCACCGAGUGGAGCGAUCUUACAGCAUGACAGGCACCAGAGUGGCAAUGCGGCCAAGGCGUCAGGAUAUCAGGGAGAACCAUCCCCGAUCACCACUUUCUGCAAGCAGAGAGGACGACGGCAGCCCCUGCGAGCGAUGGGAUCUCUCUUCACAGGCCUGGGAAUCCUCUGGUACCGGAGCCGGGAAGCGGAGCGCGGAUUAGGACACAUCUCCUCCUCCGAGCGAGCGGCCCCAUCUGUUUCCCCAGCCUCCGCCACCCCGUCUGGGUGCCCCCUGCCAAAAACCAGCAAAUGUGCCUCGAGUGGUUUUGUGUAUUGGUGACACGCCAAUAAUAAUAAAAACAAUUACCGGACUCCUGAGGUCUGAUUCCGAGAUAAUUGAGUAGCUCUGCUGUUCAAAGUGCUGACAGAGGACAGUUUUCAAAGUCGUGCCCUGAUAUCCUGUCAUCUCCUGGGGCCCUUCGUGGGAGCCCAAGACACCUAGAGAAAAGAAAACUUUAUUAUAAAUGAGCAAAAUCAGCUUAAUUGUCUUCAGUAAGUCAUAAGGAACAUUUGCAUUUAGUUUUACAAUUUAAAUUAUAAUGUGAAGGAAUUUUCAAUAAAUGCUUUUCAGGGUUUG
rnacentral:lncRNA from 1 species